GUCUAUGGCCAUACCACCCUGAACAUGCCUGAUCUCAUCUGAUCUCGAAAGCUAAGCAGGGUCGGGCCUUGUUAGUACUUGGAUGGGAGACCGCCUGAGAAUACCAGAUUCUCUGGGCU
rnacentral:rRNA from 1 species